rnacentral:lncRNA from 1 species
CUGUACUGUAUUUGCAUAUACCAUGGCUAAUGUAAGCAAACUAUGUAUAAAAGCCAGCUCUGGAAUACACUCAUUUGAGAGUCUUGUAAAGCUGUUGUCCGUGUGUUAUUGCUUACAAUGAUUCUCCAUCAACGUUGAUUAUGGUGACGAGGGAUCGAGAACCGAGGGGAUUAGAGUCCAUUACAACAUUAACCCUUUCAGCUUGGUGUCAGAAGUGGGAUAGAAGUUGGAUCAGCAAAACCAUUUGCGGUGAGUAGCCUUUUUGUGUCUUAUUUGACGCUGAUUGUCUAUGACCCCCCUUUGGUUCAGUAAGACUGUAUCCAGUAGAUAGGAAAGGUGUAAGGACUCUAGUUAUAUUGAGACUAUAAGAGGUCUCCGGUUUAUUAGACAUUUGGUCUAAAUAUAUAGGGUUUUGGUAACCCAGGUUAGUAUCUAAGAUAGAUACAGGUUUUUGAGACCAUAAGAGGUCUCCGGUUUAUUAUAGGGUUUUGGUAACCCAGGUUAGUAUCUAAGAUAGAUACAGGGUAUCUCAGGUAGAUACAGGUUUUUGAGACCAUAAGAGGUCUCCGGUUUAUUAAGUCUAUAGGUGUUCUGAGUAGCACGGUUUGUAGAUCUAUAAGUAUAACCCAAACUUCUCUUUCUCCCGGUCACCUUUGUUUGUCUUAAGUGUUUUUUGUGGGUGAUUGUUUGUCUAUAUUGGGGACACACUUUGGUAAGUUAGUAGUGUCCCCACUCUGAGUCAGCAGUAUGGGAAAUGUGAGUUCAUGUCCUGAGUGACCAAUAUAUGUAUGUAUAUAUGUGUGUGUAUAUGUAUAUGUGUAUAUAUAAGAUAGCAGUACUUUUAAACAAAUUGAGGUUUUAAAAAUACAUAGGGAUUAAGGAG